rnacentral:rRNA from 1 species
AUUGAACGCUGGCGGCAGGCCUAACACAUGCAAGUCGAGCGGAUGAAGGGAGCUUGCUCCUGGAUUCAGCGUCGGACGGGGGAGUAAUGCCUAGGAAUCUGCCUGGUAGUGGGGGAGAACGUCCGGAAACGGGCGCUAAUACCGCAUACGUCCUGAGGGAGAAAGUGGGGGGUCUUCGGACCUCACGCUAUCAGGUGAGCCGAGGUCGGAUUAGCUAGUUGGUGGGGUAAAGGCCUACCAAGGCGACGAUCCGUAACUGGUCUGAGAGGAUGAUCAGUCACACUGGAACUGAGACACGGUCCAGACUCCUACGGGAGGCAGCAGUGGGGAAUAUUGGACAAUGGGCGAAAGCCUGAUCCAGCCAUGCCGCGUGUGUGAAGAAGGUCUUCGGAUUGUAAAGCACUUUAAGUUGGGAGGAAGGGCAGUAAGUUAAUACCUUGCUGUUUUGACGUUACCAACAGAAUAAGCACCGGCUAACUUCGUG